GACAGAGGGUGCAAACGUUGUUCGGAAUUACUGGGCGUAAAGCGUGUGUAGGCGGCUUGGCAAGUCGGAUGUGAAAGCCCUGGGCUCAACCCAGGAAGUGCACUCGAUACUGCCGAGCUUGAGUAUCGGAGAGGUUGGUGGAAUUCUCGGUGUAGAGGUGAAAUUCGUAGAUAUCGAGAGGAACACCGGUGGCGAAGGCGGCCUUCUGGACAGCAACUGACGCUGAGACGCGAAAGCGUGGGGAGCAAACAGG
rnacentral:rRNA from 1 species